UUUCCGGUUGAUCCUGCCGGAGGUUACUGCUAUCGGGGUCCGAUUAAGCCAUGCGAGUUGAGAGGGGUAAGCCCUCGGCAUACUGCUCAGUAACACGCGGACAACCUGCCCUUGGGUCUGGGAUAACCCCGGGAAACUGGGACUAAUACCGGAUAGAUCAGAGAUACUGGAAUGUUCUCUGGUCCAAAACUCCGGUGCCCAAGGAUGGGUCUGCGGCCUAUCAGGUAGUAGUGGGUGUAACGUACCUACUAGCCAGCGACGGGUAAGGGUUGUGAGAGCAAGAUCCCUGAGAUGGAUUCUGAGACAUGAAUCCAGGCCAUACGGGGUGCAGCAGGCGCGAAAACUUGACACUGCGGGAAAUCGCGAUAAGGGGACCCCGAGUGCCAGCACCUAGUGCUGGCUGUCCUACUGUCUAAAUAACAGUGGUUAGCAAGGGCCGGGCAAGACCGGUGCCAGCCGCCGCGGUAACACCGGCGGCCCGAGUGGUAACCGUCAUUAUUGGGUUUAAAGGGUCCGUAGCCGGCUUAUUAAGUCUUUUGGGAAAUCUGGCGACUCAAUCGUCAGGCGUCCAAGAGAUACUGGUAGGCUUGGGACCGGGAGAGGUGGGAGGUACUCCAGGGGUAGGGGUGAAAUCUCGUAAUCCUUGGGGGACCACCGAUGGCGAAGGCAUCCCACCAGAACGGGUCCGACGGUGAGGGACGAAAGCUGGGGGAGCGAACCGGAUUAGAUACCCGGGUAGUCCCAGCUGUAAACGAUGCAGGCUAGGUGUUUGGGCGGCCACGGGCCGCUCUAGUGCCGCAGGGAAGCCGUUAAGCCUGCCGCCUGGGGAGUACGGUCGCAAGGCUGAAACUUAAAGGAAUUGGCGGGAAGGGCGAAUU
rnacentral:rRNA from 1 species